rnacentral:rRNA from 1 species
AGAACGAACGCUGGCGGCAUGCCUAAUACAUGCAAGUCGAACGAACACUUCGGUGUUAGUGGCGCACGGGUGCGUAACGCGUGGGAAUCUGCCCUUGGGUUCGGAAUAACAGUUGGAAACGACUGCUAAUACCGGAUGAUAUCGAAAGAUCAAAGAUUUAUCGCCCAGGGAUGAGCCCGCGUAGGAUUAGCUAGUUCGGUGAGGUAAAGGCUCACCAAGGCAACGAUCCUUAGCUGGUCUGAGAGGAUGAUCAGCCACACUGGGACUGAGACACGGCCCAGACUCC